CACAGCUUCAAUAAUAAAACAAAACAUAUAAAUUAUAAAAAGGUCAUUGUCAACAUCCUUAAACAUUGCAUAUCAACCCCCAAAUCCUUUAACAAUUCUACCCCAGACAAGGACCCACAUAAACAAUUCAUGAUACCACAUUCUAACAUAUAAUUUAACAUAUAACCACCGAGGGCAUGAUUUACCAUAUUCCACAAUGUAGGGGUAUACCUGAGAUACACCUUACAUACACCAGGUUCGGAGCUAUCCACGAGCUUGAACCAACCACCAUAUUCCACAAUGUAGGGGUAUACCAAGAUACACCCUACACACACCAGGUUCGGAGCUACCAAUGAGCUUGAACCAAUCAAUACCCUUCCAAACCUAACUGUUCUUAGCGAGCUAAACUCUCUUAGAACUGGACAAACGACCUACACCCCAACUUGUCUAUCCAUCCCCUGCCGCCAUGACCAAACAGGAGCUAGAACCAUAAAAAAGGGAGGGUGGGACAAAACAGUUAAGUGAGGAUUAAAUUAAGAUGGCCACUGAUCUAAAAUGGUCACUAAAUAGUCUCCCAUAGCCAAAAUCCCACCCCCACUUUCUUUAGC